rnacentral:rRNA from 1 species
UACGAAGGGGACUAGCGUUGUUCGGAAUUACUGGGCGUAAAGGGCUCGUAGGCGGCCAACUAAGUCAUACGUGAAAUCCCUCAGCUUAACUGGGGAACUGCGUGUGAUACUGGAUGGCUUGGAUUUGGGAGAGGGAUGCGGAAUUCCAGGUGUAGCGGUGAAAUGCGUAGAUAUCUGGAGGAACACCGGUGGCGAAGGCGGCAUCCUGGACCAAUAUUGACGCUGAGGAGCGAAAGCCAGGGGAGCAAAGCGGG